rnacentral:rRNA from 1 species
AGAGUUUGAUUCGGGCUCAGGAUGAACGCUGGCGGCGUGCUUAACACAUGCAAGUCGAACGGUGAAGCAGAGCUUGCUCUGUGGAUCAGUGGCGAACGGGUGAGUAACACGUGAGCAACCUGCCCCGGACUCUGGGAUAAGCGCUGGAAACGGCGUCUAAUACUGGAUAUGAGAAGCGACCGCAUGGUCAGUUUCUGGAAAGAUUUUUCGGUCUGGGAUGGGCUCGCGGCCUAUCAGCUUGUUGGUGAGGUAAUGGCUCACCAAGGCGUCGACGGGUAGCCGGCCUGAGAGGGUGACCGGCCACACUGGGACUGAGACACGGCCCAGACUCCUACGGGAGGCAGCAGUGGGGAAUAUUGCACAAUGGGCGGAAGCCUGAUGCAGCAACGCCGCGUGAGGGAUGACGGCCUUCGGGUUGUAAACCUCUUUUAGCAGGGAAGAAGCGAAAGUGACGGUACCUGCAGAAAAAGCGCCGGCUAACUACGUGCCAGCAGCCGCGGUAAUACGUAGGGCGCAAGCGUUAUCCGGAAUUAUUGGGCGUAAAGAGCUCGUAGGCGGUUUGUCGCGUCUGCUGUGAAAUCUGGGGGCUCAACCCCCAGCCUGCAGUGGGUACGGGCAGACUAGAGUGCGGUAGGGGAGAUUGGAAUUCCUGGUGUAGCGGUGGAAUGCGCAGAUAUCAGGAGGAACACCGAUGGCGAAGGCAGAUCUCUGGGCCGUAACUGACGCUGAGGAGCGAAAGGGUGGGGAGCAAACAGGCUUAGAUACCCUGGUAGUCCACCCCGUAAACGUUGGGAACUAGUUGUGGGGUCCUUUCCACGGAUUCCGUGACGCAGCUAACGCAUUAAGUUCCCCGCCUGGGGAGUACGGCCGCAAGGCUAAAACUCAAAGGAAUUGACGGGGACCCGCACAGCGGCGGAGCAUGCGGAUUAAUUCGAUGCAACGCGAAGAC